rnacentral:rRNA from 1 species
GACGAACGCUGGCGGCGUGCCUAAUACAUGCAAGUCGAACGCAGUGGGGACGGGUGAGUAACACGUGGGUAACCUCCCAUCAGAGGGGAUAACACUUGGAAACAGGUGCUAAACCGCUACUGAUGGAUGGACCCUCGGUUCAUUAGCUAGUUGGUGAGGUAACGGCCCACCAAGGCCACGAUGCAUAGCCGGACGGAGAGGGUGAUCGGCCACACUGGAACUGAGACACGGCCCAGACUCCUACGGGGGGCAGCAGUAGGGAAUCUUCGGCAAUGGACGAAAGUCUGACCGAGCAACGCCGCGUGAGUGAAGAAGGUUUUCGGAUCGUAAAACUCUGUUGUUAGAGAAGCGGUAUCUAACCAGAAAGCCACGGCUAACUACGUGCCAGCCGCCGCGGUAAUAC